rnacentral:rRNA from 1 species
GGUAACAGGUCUUCGGAUGCUGACGAGUGGCGAACGGGUGAGUAAUACAUCGGAACGUGCCCAGUAAUGGGGGAUAGCUCGGCGAAAGCCGGAUUAAUACCGCAUACGCCCUGAGGGGGAAAGUGGGGGACCGCAAGGCCUCACGUUAUUGGAGCGGCCGAUGGCUGAUUAGCUAGUUGGUAGGGUAAAGGCCUACCAAGGCGACGAUCAGUAGCUGGUCUGAGAGGACGAUCAGCCACACUGGGACUGAGACACGGCCCAGACUCCUACGGGAGGCAGCAGUGGGGAAUUUUGGACAAUGGGGGAAACCCUGAUCCAGCAAUGCCGCGUGUGCGAAGAAGGCCUUCGGGUUGUAAAGCACUUUUGUCAGGGAAGAAAUCCUUUGGGCUAAUACCCUGGGGGGAUGACGGUACCUGAAGAAUAAGCACCGGCUAACUACGUGCCAGCAGCCGCGGUAAUACGUAGGGUGCAAGCGUUAAUCGGAAUUACUGGGCGUAAAGCGUGCGCAGGCGGUUGUGUAAGACAGGUGUGAAAUCCCCGGGCUUAACCUGGGAAUUGCAUUUGUGACUGCACGACUAGAGUGUGUCAGAGGGGGGUGGAAUUCCACGUGUAGCAGUGAAAUGCGUAGAUAUGUGGAGGAACACCAAUGGCGAAGGCAGCCCCCUGGGAUAACACUGACGCUCAUGCACGAAAGCGUGGGGAGCAAACAGGAUUAGAUACCCUGGUAGUCCACGCCCCUAACGAUGUCAACUAGUUGUUGGGGAUUUACUUCCUUGGUAACGUACCUAACGCGUGAAUUUGACCGCCUGGGGGAUACGG